rnacentral:rRNA from 1 species
AGCAGCCGCGGUAAUUCCAGCUCCAAUAGCGUAUAUUAAAGUUGUUGCAGUUAAAAAGCUCGUAGUUGAAUUUCGGGAUUGACGUGAUGGUCGUGCCUUAAGGGGUAUGAACUGUUGCUGUUGAUUUCUCACCUUCUGGAGAAACUUGAUGUCCUUAAUUGGGUGUCUUGCGGAUCCAGGACCUUUACCUUGAAAAAAUUAGAGUGUUUAAAGCAGGCAUUUUGCUCGAAUACAUUAGCAUGGAAUAAUAGAAUAGGACGGCAUGGUUCUAUUUUGUUGGUUUCUAGGAUCACCGUAAUGAUUAAUAGGGAUAGUUGGGGGCAUUAGUAUUCAAUUGUCAGAGGUGAAAUUCUUGGAUUUAUUGAAGACUAACUACUGCGAAAGCAUUUGCCAAGGAUGUUUUCAUUAAUCAAGAACGAAAGUUAGGGGAUCGAAGACGAUCAGAUACCGUCGUAGUCUUAACCAUAAACUAUGCCGACUAGGAAUCAGACGAUGU